AGUGAACGCUGGCGGUAGGCCUAACACAUGCAAGUCGAACGGCAGCACAGUAAGAGCUUGCUCUUACGGGUGGCGAGUGGCGGACGGGUGAGGAAUACAUCGGAAUCUACUUUUUCGUGGGGGAUAACGUAGGGAAACUUACGCUAAUACCGCAUACGACCUACGGGUGAAAGCAGGGGAUCUUCGGACCUUGCGCGAUUGAAUGAGCCGAUGUCGGAUUAGCUAGUUGGCGGGGUAAAGGCCCACCAAGGCGACGAUCCGUAGCUGGUCUGAGAGGAUGAUCAGCCACACUGGAACUUAGACACGGUCCAGACUCCUACGGGAGGCAGCAGUGGGGAAUAUUGGACAAUGGGCGCAAGCCUGAUCCAGCCAUACCGCGUGGGUGAAGAAGGCCUUCGGGUUGUAAAGCCCUUUUGUUGGGAAAGAAAGGCAGCAGGUUAAUACCCCGCUGUUCUGACGGUACCCAAAGAAUAAGCACCGGCUAACUUCGUG
rnacentral:rRNA from 1 species